ensembl:lncRNA
CCUGUUAGCCCCGCCUCCAACAUAGCCGCUAAACCUGCCCACUUCUCCCCUGUCUUCAGCUCCCACUGUCACUCAUCUGGACAGUGCAGUCUCUUUCCUUGGUCCCUGGCCCUCGCUAUUCCCUCCCCUCCUCCACUGUUCCCCCGUUACCGCACGAAGAUGGGGUCCUAUCCGAUGUGCAUUAAAAAAGCCAACUAUUACAGCAUCAGCUUUAUUGCUAUAUGGAUCGGUAAGGAGCCGGGGGCACGUGCUGUCCGGUCUGUCUCCCCGAUCCGAAUUUGUGGGAGGAAGGGCAGGGCGGUCUGAAGCGUGGAGACAGAUGAUUGGAGGUGAGAGAGGUGAGGUGACUGAGGGUCUGCGCAAGCGUGGUCGAGCUCCGUGGCUCUUCGCAGGACGCAUGUUCACAAUAUAGGUACAUUAGUAUGCUCUGAGGGGGGAGUUUCCAGCCCCUUGAUGUCAAAAGGGUCACUUCUCCGGCAUUUGUGCAGGCCCAGUUGAUGGGUUGGUGGCCUCGACUGGCCUGAACUGGAUGAGAGGUCGUUUCUCAGUUCCUGAAAAACCACUCUUAAUUACACUGUUGAUAAGAUGGGGUCAGCUGAACGGGCCCAGGAAGGCCCUCGGUCAUACCCCAAAGGCACAGAUGGACGCCUGUGAACAGCUGAGUGUGUUCACACUCCUUCUCUGCUCAAGAACCCUCCAUGGCUCCCACUUUACUCAGUAAAAGCCAAAGUCCUCACUGCAGCCCACAGGCCCUGGCCUAUCCGCCCUGCCACCCGCCUCUCGCUGACUCACCCACCACGCCGGCCCCAGCGCUUAUGCCUGAAAUGCACUCCACCUGGCUCUUUGCGUGGCUAGCUCCUCAUCAUCCUCUGCUUUCCACUCAGGGGUCUCCUCCAGGAAGCCUUCCCUGCUCAUCUAAAGUUGGCCUCUCUUGUUGAUGACCGCAUCACCCUGUUGAUUUUCUUCAUAGCACUUGUCAAACCUGUCAUUAUUUAUUUGUAUUUCACUUGCUCACUGUCAGCCUCCUCACCAGUGUGUCAGCUCACAGAGGAAGAUCUUCCUCUUCUUUACCCCGUUACCCCAGGCAGGGCAGAGUGCCUGGUGCACAGCAGGCACCCAGGAUACAGCCCAGCACAGCCAAAUGAAUAUAAAGAGCUUGGCAUGGUGCCUGGCCCUGGCAACGUGCACAGUAUUAGUGACUAUUAUCAGGGGGGCCAGCCCUGUGGUCUAGUGGUUUCAAGUUUAGUGCACUCUGCUGGGCGGCCCGGGCUUGGUUCCUGGGCGUGGACCUACACCACUGGUGGGCAUCCAUGCUGUGGCAGUGACCCACAUACAAAACAGAGGGAGACCGGCAACAGAUGUUAGCUCAGGGUGAAUCUUCCUCAGCCAAAAAAAAAAAAAAAGUAGUAUUCACCAGCAUUUAGGUUUCCAAUCUUUUAUGCAUGCUCAGAGCCCUCUGGUUGCUGUGCACAAAGAAACUGUACGACACAAAAGCAGAAGCAGAGACCAAUGAGGAGGCUACCGCACUGGUCCGGGUCCGUGCUGAUGGUGGGCUGGACUCAGGUGGUCUUGGUGAAGGUGACGAAAGCAUGCAGAUUCUCGAUAUAAUUUGAAGAUGGAGCUGACCUGAUGGAUUGCAUGUGUGAAGUGAAAGAAAGAGGCGCUGGGGAAGCAGGGCUGCGAGGGAGCAAGCUCAGGCGGAGUCCUGCCAGGGCCCAUAGUCCAUCCCGCAGGGAGCUCUGGAGGCUGUUCCAUCUCCGAGUUGUCCGCACCCGUCAGUCGUUGCCUAAAGGCUGCCCUGGGGGAACGCGGCCAGCAGCUCAGAGCGGAGCAUGCAGAGAGGGUGGAAGCUGUGAGAAGACAGAAAGCGUGGGAAACCAGCUCACCGCGUGGGAGAGCGCCCCACAAACAGGGACGCUGGGCUGCAGGAGGCGCGGGCAGAACUGGACGUGGCCGGGCUGAUGGAGAGGCGUAGGGACUCAAGCAGUCCCCUGGGCAAGGGCACGAUGCCGGAGCGAUCCCCUCCCUCUGCUGCCCGAGGUCUCGCACAGCUUUCAACAGACUCAGGUGAAAGCCAGUCUCCACGUGGGUCCAGGGUCCCCGCAGGACCCAUCCGCCCGUUCCCAGAUGUCCCUUUCUCCCCUCUGCCCUCGCCAGCCCCAUUCCAGCCCCUGGGGCCUCCUUGCUGCUCGUCCACAAGCACGGUCCCACCUGUGGGACUUUGCACCGGCUGUUUCCUCUGCCUGGAAGGCUCUUCUCCCAGCAGUCGGCUUGGCCUCAGUCCCUCAGCUCCCCGUGACUUUCCCGGGCGCCGCCUGGCUUAAAAUCGCCUGCCCCAGCUCGGCAGCCCUGGUUUUCUUUUCGUCCACCACACUCGCCACCAUGGGACACAGCACACACUCUGCUUGAUUCUUGUCCGCCUCCCCAGGGCAGGGCCAGGGCAUGGUGGUGUCGCUGUGUCCCCGGCAGCUGCUUCGGGCUGCCCAGCCUUCAAGGCCAGCUCCUCCCGGCCCUCCUGGAGGUCUGUUAGCAGCAGGCUGUCCUCAAAUUCUUUUCUGCUUGCGUUGGCCAGCGUCCAUAUUCGUGGUCUGCUACUCUGAGAGCUACAGAUCCAGAGAAUGUGGAGGGAAGCCAGGCCAGGAGGGGCCCCGCUGCCCUUUUAGAAACGAGGGGUGCAGGCACAGG